ACGGUGUCACUCUCUCACCUAGGCUGGAGUGCAGUGGCACGAUCUCAGCUCACUGCAACUUCUGACUCCUGGGUCCAAGCAAUUGUCCUGCCUCAGUCUCCCAAGUAGCUGGGAUUAUAGACACGUGCCACUAUGCCCAGCUAAGUUUUGUAUUUUUAGUUGAGAUAGAGUUUUGUCAUGUUGGCCAGGCUGGUUUCGAACCCCUGGGCUGAAGUGAUCCACCUGCCUUGGCCUCCCAAAGUGCUGGGAUUACAUGUGUGAGCCACCGCACCUAGCCCUAAUUUUUUUUUUUUUUUUUUUUUUUUUUGUAGAGAUGAGGUCUCGCUAAUUUGCCCAGGCUGGUCCUGAACUCCUGGGUUCAACUAAUUCUCCUGCCUCAGCCUCUCAAAGUGCUGGGAUUACAGGCAUGAGACACCACGCCAGGCUGGUGGUGAGUUUUAAAAUUUUCCAGUGCCUCAGUGUUUCUACCUGUAGAAUGCCAAAAAGUAGAUGGCAUCUUUGCGAGGAUGAAGCCGACUAGCUUUUUUUAAUUUUUUUUUGAGACAGAAUUUCUCUCUUGUCACCCAGGCUGGAGUGCAAUGGUGUGAUCUUGGCUCACUGCAACCUCUGCCUCCUGGAUUCAAGUGAUUCUCCUCUCUCAGCCUCCAAGUAGCUGGGAUUACAAAGCCAGCUAGCUUUAAGAUACAGUGUUGGGCAUCACAUUUUGGCACGGAGCAGGCACUCUUUUCUUUGCCCUCAGGUGGGACUUAGCCACCACAAGCCUUCCCUGGUGUGUGCAGUGGGUGAUGAAUGCUUGCCUGCUCAGCACCCACUACAUGGUGGGCUGGGUCACAUUACUCUGACUCCCCCUUGAGCUUCAGUCCGUGCCUGGUUCAAGAUGUAUUGACUCAACUCGAGGAUCCAGAGGUGGGAUGUGGCUCUGGCCUGGCCAGAGGACCGAAGAUGCUGCAUGCCAUGGCUACAGCAACUGGUUCAGCUUUGGGCUCAUGUCCUAGUCAGAGCCAAUGAGAUGUAAUCUUGGGAUAUCUGCUGGGCUGUUGGGAAGGGGACAGGCUGCCCUGCUCAUCCCCAUUCCUGAUGCUGAGGGAUCUGAGAAAAUCACUUGUAAAAUUCGGGGGUGUUUGGAAGAUGGGGAGACUGAUGUCUCCUUCUCUCUACAGACAUCUGAUCAGCUACAGAGCUUGACUGACCUACCCAGAGGCAGAAUGAUAUGGUGGUUAAAAGUGUGCCCUGGGCCGAGAUCUUGCCACUGCACUCCAGCCUGGGUGACAGAGUGAGACUCCAUCUCAAAAGAAAAAAAAAAGUGUGCUCUGGGCUGGUCGCAGGAGUUUAUGACUGUAAUCCCAGCAGUUUGGGAGGCUGAGGCAGGAGGAUCGCUUGAAGUCAGGAGUUUGAGAUCAGACCCUAUCUCUAGAAAAAUGUUUUAAAAAUUAGCUGGGUUGGUGGUGAAUGCCUGUAGUCCCAGCUACUCAGGAGGCUGAGGCGGGAAGAUUGCUGGAGCCCGGGAGUUCAAGGCUGCAGUGAGCCAUGAUCAGGCCACUGCACUCCAGUUUGAGGGACAGAGAGAGACCCCAUCUCCCUAAAGCACAAAAAAGUGUGCUCUGGUGCCACACUGCCUGGUUAGAUCCUUUGUCCACCACUUAGAUGCAUGUUAUAUAAAUGCUCUCCUCAGUUUCCUCAUCUGUAACUUGGGGAUGAUAAUGCUGCCCCAUUAAGUGGUUAUGGGGACUAAAUUCAUGUGGGCGCAUUGGUAAGUAUUCAACAAGCUUGAUUUUUUCCUGGAGAGGGAGAAAGAGCAUACAGUGAAGUGGCAUGCUCAGGUGCAUUGGGGCAAGGAUUAUUUCCUCUGGCUUCUGCCUCCUGGGAGGUACUAAGGAUGGAUCUGAAAUGUGUCUGCAGACCCCAGAGUUGGGGACUGCAGAGGGAAAUUGAGAUCAGGGACCCCAGUCUGGCAGAAAUGGGUGCAGCAUGGGGCAUUGGGUUCCUUCCAUCAGAGGCAUGGGGUGUGUUGCAGACAGUCAUGAGAUGUGGCUGAAUCUUGCAAGGGAGCUGCAGUCCUAGGGUUGCUGCUUGAGACAAUGACCGCUGUCAGUGGAACCUGGUGACCUUCACCCUUCUCUGUCAGGCUGCAGACAGCAAGAGAUGGCAGGAGGUUACACCCAACAGGAAAAGGGCCAUUGCUAUCCCACAGGUUGCCAUAGGAGGAGAUGACAUCUCUUCCCUCUCCUCCUCCAGCAGUGUCAGCUGGGGAAGAGGUGGGUGGGGGUGCACAAAAGAGUAGACCACAGACCAUGCUCCUUCUCCUCCAGUCUGCUGGGGCCCCAAGAGAGUCUGCAGCCCUUGGCCAGGGACCGGCUGAUACAGGAGAACAAAAGAUCUCAGUCUGGGAUAACAUGGUGGUGCAGCUGAUCCUCUGGAACUCCCUGUGAGAUCAGACUGGAGCCAGUCUCCAGCUGAGACCACAUCUCACUUAGCUCCUUCCCUGCCAUAUCCUGUUUUCCUUACUCCUAUCUACUGAGAGUCCUGAAUGAAUUACAUGCACUCAAUCCCUGCCUCAGGCUCUGCUUUUAGGGAACUUGACCUAAGACAGAUAUCUUAGUACUAAAUACUUUGCAAGGCCUCAGAAGCUCUGCUAUCCACAGGCAGGUGAGAUAUUACCUUCCCUACCACCUGGCAGUCAUAGUCUAUGAUGCGAUUCAGCUUUGUGGAAGUGCUUCUGUAAAGAACUUCCCCCAACUUAAGAUGAUCUUAAUUUGCUUACUUGUUUACUGUCCAUUUAGCUGCUGUAAAAUGUGAGCUCCAAAUCAGUGGUCAUGUCUGGUUAGUUACCCAUUUCCUGGGACCUAGAACGGGCCUAGCUCAGAGCAUGUGCUCACUAUUGAUGGAAUGCAUGUUGAAAGAACGCAUGAAUCUCAUCUCCUUUUGUGGGUGAAAAACUCAUCCUAUUCUCACUCCUGAUUAACUUUCCUUCUUUUUUUUUUUUUUUUUUUUUUUCAAAACGGAGCCAUGAUCUGUCACCCAGGCUGGAGUGCAAUGGUGUGAUCUCAUCUCGCUGCAACCUCUGCCUUCUGGAUUAAAGCAAUUCUCCUGCCUCAGCCUCCCGGGUAUCUGGGAUUACAGUUGCACGCCACCACACCUGGCUAAUUUUUUGUAUUUUUAAUAGAGACAGGGUUUCACCAUGUUGGCCAGGCUUGUCUUGAACUCCUGACGUCGUGAUCUGCCUGCUUUGGCCUCCCAAAGUCCUGGGAUUACAGGCAUGAGCCACCGUACCCAGCCACUCUUGAUUAACUUAAUGGAAAUAUUUACAGAGAUUCUUUCUCUUCUGGGUUCUAGCGUCUUAUCUGUAACCUCUGCAGGGGAGUCACUGAGCAGAACGAAGCGAGUUGCCUGAGAUUCUUCAAAGCCCCAGCCCUUUUGGAGGUUACAUUGUUAUUCUCAGAGCCUUUAUGAUGCAUAAUAAAGACCUAGCUUGUACCAAUAUUAGGAUGAGUUAUCUUGCUAUUAACAUUCUUUUAGGUAGAAGUUGCUGGUCCCAUCUUGCUCACAAUCCUCCAAAGUUUGAAAGUUAUUUUCCAGGAGACUUGGCUUGCACUGAGAGCUGCCCUCCCACUCUCUCUCCAAAUUUCCUCUUCGGAGUAGCCUAACAAGGUGCUGUCACAGACCCUUGUCAGCCACGAUGACCCCACCCAGACCAUCCCUCUGCUGUUUCACUCUUUGAUACUCUCUGGAGCUCUCUGGGGAGGGGUGAGACCUGCCGUCUUCUUUGUACGGUUUGCCCAGGUCUUACAGUCAUGGCUGGCUGCCUCUCUCUGAGAACUGGGACUCCUGAACUUGGUGAAAUACCUCAGCCAUCGAUCAUGUUGAAUUAUUGGGAACACUCAUUUAAAAUCCGAGCCUGUUCCAGAUAGACUCUCUCUCUUUCUGCCCUGACUGUGAGAGAAGCCCUGCUGGAUGGUGGAGAUGCUCGUGGGCUGUGAGCAAGGGAUGCAAAGGCUGCCGGGAAUCCCAUCUUUCCAGCAUCAUCUGCUAAGUCACAUUAGUUCCUGGGUAUCUGGAUGGGUUCUAGCAGCAUUACUGUCAUUGAAGGAAAAAUGAUAGCCAUAUUAAAGGUUAAUGCAGCAAUCUCCACAUAGGCUGCCUUGAAGGGACGCAGGACAAGGGUAGGUUUUCCUUGUGAUGGACAGGAGGCAGGCGGCCCUCCCACAGCCCUGCCUGGCAAUGCAGGUGUGUCCCCAAAAGGCACUGGGGGCCAGCUGGAGUGCUAUGCCGAGGCGGGCUGACCUGGGCCGUGGGUUCGCUGAUUGCAGCGGUUUCCUGCCAGCUCCUUGGAGAGCUGGCAGAUGGCCCAGCCCCACAGCAGGAGCCGCGAAUGGCAGAGCGACAUACAACAAUUUGAUAUCCACUUGCCAGAGGAGCCGGGUGUCAUCAGUCGCCUGGAUCUGUGCCCAACUUCUUUUUGCAUAAACACUUAUGAAUUCAGCCAAGAGGAAAAGCACUCUGAUUAUGAAUUGAGCAGAAGGAAACAAAGUUCUGCAGAUAAACACCAAUGAGACAAAAAAACACAAAUAAGAAAAAUGACAGAAAAGAAGAACCUUCCCAGAAGCCUCCUGCCAGUGAACGGCCACCAUAGCAAGAGCAUGGAGGCCCUGGGUUUUGAACUGUGAGAUAAGGAAGAUGAUGAAAACCUCCCUAGCAGCCAGGCAAGCACAAGAUUCCUGUGAAAUCCAGGUCUAAGUGUUUUGACUACAGAAGUAAUAUUAUGUCAUAGGUGCAGGAAUGAGAGGCAGCAGCCGGGGAAGCCAGGGUCUCCGGAAGUCCUUGUCUCUGGGCGGUGAUCCAGAGAGAGAGAGAGAACACGAUUGUCUCAGCAAUGGGUCUUCUUCUGAGUCUUGAAGGAGCACUUCCAGAGCCUCUCAGUGUUAAACAUCGUGUUGUGAAUGACUCCGUGAGCUCUGACCCAGUGACCUUGGGGAUAAAGGAGGGGAGGUACGGAUAAGCUCUUCGAAUGGAUGUUGCCGGGGUGUCAGUGUUCUUUGAGGGCACAGACUAUGUGUCACUAAAGAAAGAGCCCAGUGCCUUUUCUCAUUGCUCAAGAGAUUGAAGGGGUAGUAAGAAAAGAUGUUAAGUUAUAAACACGUUUCAGUUUUGGUACCAGUUGAACCAAUUUACGUUUUGAAGAGGAAAGAGUCUUGCCUACAAUGUCAGCCCCCGGGUUUUCCUUCUGCUUAUGGAAUCCAGGCAAUGGGCAAAGAGAAAAAGAAAACUAAGGAAUCAGCCAGG
rnacentral:lncRNA from 1 species